CCAAGACCGAGGCCAGGGUGGAGCCGGAGAGGCGGGAGCUGCUCGCAGCCCCAGGGGCCGGGAAGGGGCGGGCGGAGCUUGGCUUCCUGGAGGAGUGGAGGAAGCUGUGCCCAUUUCUGGAAGUGGCUGAGGAGGGCCACCAGGAGAAGCGGAGGGACAUGGGUGCAGGGAGCCGCUGCCAGGUUAAGGAUCCUCUGAGCUCCCGAACCCAAACCCUGAGACUCCGUGCCUAGACCACACGACAUCGACGGCCCCUCGCCGAGACCUGGGGCGCGCAGGCUGAGCUCUGUUGCUCCCCCUUGUGCCUGGUUUGGAGAGCUACGACGACAGUGAUCAUGGGCCCUGGAAUCUGCUGGCUGAGGAGGCGUGCCCUUCUGGAGAGGAACCUGAGCGUCAGCUGUACCUUAGAGUCUAUAGAGCCAUGCUGAGGUCUGCCGUGAGGAGAAAGGGGACAGGACCUCAGCAGGGUCUCUCUGAAUAGCCCUGGUGGUUCUGGAACUCACAGACCAGG
rnacentral:lncRNA from 1 species